rnacentral:rRNA from 1 species
GAUGAACGCUGGCGGCGUGCCUAAUACAUGCAAGUCGAACGCUGGAGAUCUAGCUUGCUAGAUCGAAGGAGUGGCGAACGGGUGAGUAAUACAUAAGCAACCUACCCACGAAGACUGGGAUAAUCUCUGGAAACGGGGACUAAUACCGGAUAGGUAAUCGGAAGGCAUCUUCUGGUUAUUAAAGGUUAAAAACACUGGUGGAUGGGCUUAUGGCGCAUUAGUUAGUUGGUGAGGUAACGGCCCACCAAGACGAUGAUGCGUAGCCGGCCUGAGAGGGUGAACGGCCACAUUGGGACUGAGACACGGCCCAGACUCCUACGGGAGGCAGCAGUAGGGAAUUUUCGGCAAUGGGGGCAACCCUGACCGAGCAACGCCGCGUGAGUGAAGACGGCCUUCGGGUUGUAAAGCUCUGUUGUAAGGGAAGAACGGUAGAUAGAGAAUAUCUAAGUGACGGUACCUUACCAGAAAGCCACGGCUAACUACGUA